rnacentral:lncRNA from 1 species
UGUUUGAAUGAUUGAUGAGUCAUAGUGAUAUGAAAGAAUAUGUUUUGAAAAUGGGAGUAUGGUACUUGAUUGAUGGUCGAGUAGGCAAGGGACGCAGGAGGAACCGGCGGACCCAACACAUGGUGGCAAAUACCUGAGGUCGAAAGACCAGUAUGGAAAACCCACAAUUAAAGAAAUGAAAUACGGCUAAUACCUGAGGUCGAAAGGCCGGUAUGGAAACCCCCGUAUUAUCUAUUGGCCAAAUUUGAUGAACAGGUUCCGAAAAUCAAAGUCUAUUGCUAUCAGUCAAGUACCACACUUCAAGGGUACCCGAUAAAGAGAAGGAUUUCAAAGAAAAGGAUCACGAAUGAAGUUAUAGAUGUGAUAUUGUACUUAUUGAAUAGAUAAUGUGUUAUGUGAUUGAUAUAUUGCUAUUACAUCAGUUUCAACUUGCUGAGCCAUUAGCUCAUUAGGUUCUUAUGAUGCAGGUAAUGAUGUACAUGUUUAGAAGUUGACCUAGCCAAGAGCGGCCAGUCAGAUAUUUGUUCAUAUGCCAUGCUUCGAGCCAUUUUUGUAGCCGAGCAGAAACUCUGAUUUCAUUUUGUUAGCCGCUCUAUUAUGGUUUUUGUACAAUGUAAUUUUGUAAACAAUGAAUAUAUAUAUGUACGGAUUUUGAGAAAGUACAAAGUUUGAUUUCUUUUCAAAGCAUAUAACGUAUUUUUGUAUUAAAACCAUAAUGUUUAAGUAUAUAUAUAAAAAGCUUAGCAUCCCUAACUUAAUGGCGGUGAUCCGAUUGGAUUCUGCUGUUAGGUUGUGCGGUGUUACAUUUUUGGUAUCAGAGCGGAGGUUUAAAAUCUUUUCUGAAGACAGAAGAAGGCAUAUGAACAUACUUUGGCUGGGAAGCUUGGUUAACUCUUUUCUUAUUUACCUAUGUGUUUAAUUUAUAUGUUGCAUAGCAAAUAUCCAGAAUUGUUCGGUACGUCAAAUUUCGAGGGCGAAAUUUUAUAAGGAGGGAAGAAUUGUAAUGCCCAACCAUCCAUACAUGGCCAAUAAUAAGCAUAUUGCAUCAAUGCAUAUAGUUAUAAUUCAUUAUUCAUGAUGCAUGAUCACGACUACUUGCUACACAUGUGCCUUAAUUGUGUUUUACUACGUGAUCGAAUACUUUUCUUAAACUGUGAUAAUACAUGAUACAUGUUAUUGAACUUCUACUUUAUGAUUUAACAUUAACUUAAAUGAUUUAUUGUAGUGAGAAGUUAAGUUUCUCGCUAAACGGUGAUAUAUUUGUCUUAGAUGCAUUUCCGCAUUUUAAUUAUGUUUUAAUAUGAUUAAUUACAUAUGUAAUUAUUUGAAGUAACUCAUAUUAGACUAAAACCAAAAGUAUGCAAAAUGGUGCAUUUUGAUUGGUUGGUUGACUAGGUUGCACGAGACCAUUCUGAAAUUGUUUACACUUGAUUAUAAUGAGUAUGCAUCAGCCCAUAUCUUAUCUCAAGCUAUAAAAACGUGGAGGAACCACAAGAAUCCAGCAAAUAAAAGCCUUCCAAUCACCAUCCUCCAUUUGGCCUUGUUGGGAAUGGGUAGAUAAGUGAAGACUUUGUGUUUUGGUCUUCAUUUUCACUUGUCUUCUUCCAAAAACGACCAGACCGAUUUCCUUAAUCUUGUCUUCAUAUUUCUUCACUUCCAUACUCACAUAAGAGAGCAUCAAACCAUAAAAACUCAUAGAAGUAGAGCUAGAACAAGUUCUGCACCUUUUCUAGCUGAAAAUCCUAUGUUUUGAAGUUGAAUUCAUCUCUAAUCAAGGCUUCUAGCACACCUUAUCUAAAACUGAUCCUUUCAUUUCAUAAACCAUUAUUGAUCUUGAGGUAAGUUGAAGCUUUCAUUUGUACAUCGUAAGAACCUAAUUAUGUGCGCUUUAAUGUGACUUUUGCUAUGUAUUCUCUAUGAUGUUUGAAUGAUUGAUGAGUCAUAGUGAUAUGAAAGAAUAUGUUUUGAAAAUGGGAGUAUGGUAUUUGAUUGAUGGUCGAGUAGGCAAGGGACGCGGGAGGAACCGGCGGACCCAACACAUGGUGGCAAAUACCUGAGGUCGAAAGACCAGUAUGGAAAACCCACAAUUAAAGAAAUGAAAUACGGCUAAUACCUUAGGUCGAAAGGCCGGUAUGGAAACCCACGUAUUAUCUAUUGGCCAAAUUUGAUGAACAGGUUCCGAAAAUCAAAGUCUAUUGCUAUCAGUCAAGUACCACACUUCAAGGGUACCCGAUAAAGAGAAGGAUUUCAAAGAAAAGGAUCACGAAUGAAGUUAUAGAUGUGAUAUUGUACUUAUUGAAUGGAUAAUGUGUUAUGUGAUUGAUAUAUUGCUAUUACAUCAGUUUGAACUUGCUGAGCCAUUAGCUCAUUAGGUUCUUAUGAUGCAGGUAAUGAUGUACAUGUUUAGAAGUUGACCUAGCCAAGAGCAGCCAGUCAGAUAUUUGUUCAUAUGCCAUGCUUCGAGCCAUUUUUGUAGCCGAGCAGAAACUCUGAUUUCAUUUUGUUAGCCGCUCUAUUAUGGUUUUUGUACAAUGUAAUUUUGUAAACAAUGAAUAUAUAUAUGUAC